GGCAGCAGUGGGGAAUCUUGCGCAAUGCGCGAAAGCGUGACGCAGCAACGCCGCGUGGGGGAAGAAGGCUUUCGGGUUGUAAACCCCUUUCAGUCGGGACGAAGCUCCGUCGGUUAAUAGCCGAUUGGAGUGACGGUACCGACACAAGAAGCACCGGCUAACUACGUGCCAGCAGCCGCGGUAAUACGUAGGGUGCAAGCGUUGUCCGGAAUCAUUGGGCGUAAAGAGCGUGUAGGCGGUUUGUCGCGUCCGCUGUGAAAGUCCGCAGCUUAACCCUGGAAAGCCGGUGGAUACUGUCGGGCUAGAGUACGGAAGAGGCGAGUGGAAUUCCUGGUGUAGCGGUGAAAUGCGCAGAUAUCAGGAGGAACACCAAUGGCGAAGGCAGCUCGCUGGGACGAUACUGACGCUGAGACGCGAAAGCGUGGGGAGCAAACAGGAUUAGAUACCAUGGUAGUCCACGCUGUAAACGAUGGGCACUAGGUGCGGGGGGUGUCGACUCCCCCCCGUGCCGAAGCUAACGCAUUAAGUGCCCCGNCUGGGGAGUACGGCCGCAAGGCUAAAACUCAAAGGAAUUGACGGA
rnacentral:rRNA from 1 species